rnacentral:lncRNA from 1 species
AGGCCAUCCCCAGAACCGAGGUUCUGCUGCCAUCUCCCAGAACCCUGGCAUGGACUCCCUGCCUGAGCUUGGAGCAGGCAGAGGUUUUGGUGGGCAGAGUUGAAUGUAUGUUGCAAAUGGCUAGAGGUGUUCAGCCACCUUUGAAGGAUGGGACCUGUGGACCUGUGUCGCUUGAGUCAUCUGAGAACCUCUGGAGGCAGGUGGGCGUGGAGUGGGAUUCAUUCUGCCCUGAAUUUGAGAAGAAAAGACUGCUUCUGGGAGUUU